UGCUCGUUGGUUUAGGGGUAUGAUUCACGCUUUGUCGAGAGGUCCGGGUUCAAAUCCCGGAUGAGCCC